UGUCAAUGGUAACUUGGAAAU
rnacentral:piRNA from 1 species